rnacentral:lncRNA from 1 species
GUGAUAUACAAUAUAUACUGCUUGUAUAAAAUUUUAUCUUACAGUUUAUUUUGUAUCUUCACAUAAAGAUUCAGAUAAAGUUUGUAGUUGGUCAACUAUUCAAAUUUGUAGAUUAAGCAUACAACCGUUCCAAUUGUAUGGCAAACUCAUAAAGAUAUAAGAAGAUGUGGUAUGAGUACCAAUGAAACAACACUACAUCAAAGUCAUAAUUUGUAAAAGUAACCAUACUGGAAUGUAUUUAGGGGCCAGCUGAAGGACACCUCCGGGUGCGGGAAUUUCAAAAAUAUGGCUGACUACAUUUUAUGCCAUUACUCUCCACUGAUGUCGUAAAGUCAAACUUCCUACUUAAUUUGGCCAGUUACCCAUCUAGAACUUGGGCAUCACUGAUGUUGCCGAAAUGCGCGUCUGACGCACAAAGUUAUGAGCCUGGUAUAUAUGAUCAGGGUUGUUUUGCAUGUAUCAUUUAAUGAAAUGAAAGUUAUGUUUGCUUUGCACCACUUGAUAUUCAAAUUUUCCUUGAAGUGCAUGUUCUCAAUUAUUAUUGUUAACUGUUAUAGGUUGCAGUGCUGUAAAUAUAGACAAUGUAAUUUUUCACAGGAAUAUUAUCUUUACGGCCAAAACUGUACCAGUAAAACUAUGAAGAUUUGUAAACAUUAUAUAUACUAGAAUAGAACGCUCAUAUGCAGUACUAUUUUUGUCAUGGGUCAAAAUAUAGGGCUAUAUUCUCAACAUUUAUCUAUACCCGAACUUCUUAUAGUUAAACUUUUACCGUUAUUCUGUACCACCCUCUCUUCACUUUGCGUCUUCCACAUAUUUUAAUUUGGCAGUAAUGCAUCUGUUUAUAUGCUAGUUUCAUUCCCAGGCAAUGUAUUUACGAGCUGAAACAUAGAAUUCAUAUCUGGGAACCAGUAGGUAAUUCGAAACAUCAUAUCUCUGAGUAUUAUAUAACACACCAAAAGAGGCGUAGUUUGUGAAUGAGCUGCGUUUACACAGUACAACCGAUGGUACAAAAACCGCUAUUAUUAUAUUAGAACAUAUGCUUUCGAUGAUCAUUCUAAUUGUUCCAUGAAAACAAAAAUUAAAAUAUAUGUUUGAAGCAAUUUUUUACCCAUGUAUACCUUUGUAUAAUGUUUUUUAUGCUAGAUAUAGUAGAUAUUAUAUAGUUACAUAAUGAAUUAAUAAAGUGUCCAGAAAAGUGC